rnacentral:rRNA from 1 species
UGUAAGCGUAUACCAAAGUUGUUGCAGUUAAAACGCUCGUAGUCGGAAUUUGGCAGUUCCGGAUGUGUGCACGUCGUGUGCGCACUUCGCGGGGAUUGCUUUUGUGGUCUUGCGUAGGAUGAGGCACUUUUAUUAGUGAACGUCCUCACGCAACCACUUUUUACUGUGAGAAAAUCAGAGUGCUCAAAGCAGGCAUUUGCCGUGAAUGUAUUAGCAUGGAAUAAUAGAAUAGGACUUGGUUCUAUUUUGUUGGUUUGUUGGGACUGAGUAGUGAUUAAGAGGGACAGUUGGGGGCAUUUGUAUUUCGGUGCUAGAGGUGAAAUUCUUAGAUUACCGAAAGACAAACUGCUGCGAAAGCGUCUGCCAAGGAUGUUUUCAUUGA